AGAACCCAGGUCCUUUGGCUCCCAGGCCUGUGCUCUUUCCACUGGGCCAUGCUGCUUCUGGUUGUGUGACUUUUCUUGGGUAGCCCUAACCUGAGAGCUGUCAGACUCAUCUGGGCCAUAUAAUCUAGGCUUAAACAUUUAGGGUAUCUGGGGACUAUUUUUGCUUGAAAUACCUGGAGUGUUGCCUCAGUCCUUAACCAGGAAACGAGGGGGUGAUAAUCCGGUCCUUCAUACACCCACAGACUGAUGCCUUCCAUACUUUUUCUCAUUCAGAGCACAAUAAUGCUGGAGUCUCUGUUUGGAUUGGCUGAGAUCCUCUAGGCUAAAAUCCCGCAGACGAAUAGGGAUGGAUCAUUAAGCCCCAGGCCGCAGAAUCUCCACUGCCGAAGAGGCAACUGCAGUCUCAAACGGCCGUGCUGAUUGUGAUUGCAAACGACGCACUAGCAUCCGGUGAUGGAGUGACUGAAGCAGACCCUGAUCUCCUCCCACUUCGCCCUCCCCCAGAUGGUUUUCUCGACCACCCCAGCUGGGACUACCGACCUUAGCGCAGUAACACACUUGGGAUCCCUGGGUCCGCCGGGCACUGGGAAGGGCCAGGGAUGGUCCCCUUUUGACUUUUUCCCAUAGAUCUUGCUGCUGCCCUGAAAUGCCUGGAAUGCCGGUCGGGGCGGAGGGACGGGGCUCAUCGGGGACAGUCGCAGGCCAGCGCCUCAGCAGGGAGGAUGGAACAUAAUCAGCCCAGUGCCGACCGGGGCAACUAGCCUUGAGAAAAACAGAAUGGAUCUCGCUUUCAAUGGGAGAAGAACACCGCCUCGGGUGGCCCCGUGUUCUGGAAGAGGCUCUUGUCCCUGGUCGUGACAGAAAGGGUAGGAUCUAGGCAAGGGCAAACGGGACAGAAGGUGAUGCCCAGCAGCUCUCCAUCUCCGCGAGAGGGAAGAGACAAGCGAUGCCGGAGUUAGACAUCAGAAAGAGCAGGGCAUGGACUUCUGAGAGAGAGGGCAGAAUGGGGAGAUUGCAGUUUGUUUUUAUGGUA